ACGUGGGCAGAAGGGGUUGGCGAGUUUCGUCGAUGAAAAAAGAAACUAAGCGAGAGGCCACUUUCCUCGUUCCUUCGUGCCCCUCGAGCCCCACGCACCUUCUCUCUUGAGCACGCAACCUCUUCUUCCCUCUCCAAAGAUCUCUCUCCUUUGACUGGAUCGGCUCGCCCGCUCUACCGCGAGGACCAUGUCGCUGCCGACGCCGAUGCCCGCCAGCGACGACAGGUUGGAUCUGGACGGCGUGCUCGUAGCGCCUCUCACCAUCUGCAUGAGCGGGGCGGUGGAUUCAUCUGCUCCCACCUCUGCGAGCACCUCAUGGCCGAGACCCCGGACUCUGUCCUCGCCGUCCACGUCUACUGCUAGAAGAUCCGCCGCCUCGUCGACCUACCCCCGCCCCACCUCGCCCGCUGCAGCAACUUCCACCUCCUCAACGUCAAGAACAACUCCGGCCUGGAGGGCCUCAUCAAGAUGGUCGAUCUGGUGCGCCCCUCCCCACCUCCCCUCCUUCCCCGCUCGCUUUUGUCCUCUAAUGGCGGAUUGGUCUGCGAAAAAGGAAUGCUAGGGCCGAUUUUUCCGUCUUUGUUUCUGUAAAAAAGAGGAAGUGGGAUCGACGCUCUUAUCCUCUAAUGGUGGAUUGGUCUGCGAAAAAGGAAUGCUAGGCCCGAUUUUUCCGUCUUUUUUUCUGUAAAAGAGAGGAAGUGGGAUCAACCUGCAGAGGAUUUGGUCGCCGCGGCUGCGGCGGCGAGACUGCCCAUCUUUCAAUUCCGUGGCACUACUGCAUAUCCUGCCGCCACCGCUCGUUCCACCGGUGCUUCAGAGUGCUGCUGCUGCUGCUGCAAUUCAGAAACUAAGUCAGGCAAAACUAGUGGCUGAGCUUAUAGCACGAGAAAUUGUUAUAAAUGAUGCUGAUCAAUCUGUACGGCAUAAGCUCACGAAAAGGCAAACACAAAACGAGGUAAAUCAGUUGCAACCAAACAAUCGUGAUGUACUUGUUCUGUUGAAAGUCUGCUGGUACAUUGGUUAUAUUCACUUUCUGUAGCCAGCAUAUGAAAAAAUGUACUAAAAACAUUUGAGGCAGUCGAUCCCAACAGCGGAACAGCAACUAUGCUCGAGAUAGCAGGGAGGCUGUCCAAGCUAGAAAAUAAAGGAUGGAGGCCAAGGCGAACAAUCAUCGUCUGCAGUUGGGAUGCAGAAGAGUUUGCGCUGGAUCUACGGAAUGGACCGAGGAGGACAUGGAUAUGCUUGCUUCAAGAGGUGUUGCUUAUCUGAAUGUAGACAUGUUAAUGUUUGGGCCUGGAAGUCUUAUGCCCCGUGCAACAACACAACUCGAUGAAUUAAUCAAUGAAGCAAGCAGAAUGGUACCCGAUCCUGAUGAUUCGUCUCAUACCUUGUAUGACUACAUGGCACAAAUGAGCGAUCAUGAGAGCUUCAUUUGAUUGAAACAUACUGAAGUAUUAAGCUCCUAUUUUCAUACUGCAAGAGUGGCCGGUGCAGGAACAUAUUUUGCAGCUUUUGUCGAGCACAUUGGAGUCCCUUCACUUGACAUCUCUUAUGGAUUAUAAUACCCUGUCUACCACUCGCUGUACGAUGAUUUUGAUUGGAUGGAGCAGUUUGGAGACCCUUUGUUCCACAGACAUGUAGUAUGUACUGAGCGAGCUAUCUUUUCAAAUUCAGAAAGUUCACUAUAGCGCUGACUAACCCAUUUUACUGAGACUUGCAAAUGAUGAGAUCAUUCCCUUCAAUUAUGUCCCCUGCGUGUCUGAACUGGAGGUAUUUUCUCUUCUGGCAACUGAGAUAGACACACAGGGUAAUCCCCUAAUUCAGUUUCAUCAAGGAAACUGAAACAGAAUCAUAAAUUCAUGAUAGACUCGCUUCUUAUUGAUUGGUACACACAUUUUUUUUCAUGAAAUUAUCAUUAAGUGUGGCAUGUAGAAGUAGCUCCAACAAUUACUUGAAACAUGGACUAUCUGCCGUCCUCAUGACAACAGAUGUUGCAAGCACAAAAGAAGGGCCAUAACACGAGGGUACGCAUGCUGAAAGUCAAAGAGAUCAACGACCGAUGGACGAUGGUGGAGCGAGCCUUCACCAACCAAGAGUGGCUCGGAGGGAGACCGUGGUCCAAACAUAUGAUGAGCAUCAAAGCUGCAGGCUUGUUACAUAGUACUGUAGUUGUCUGAACUCCGAAGUUAGUCUGAAACUAACCACAAUAAUGUUUUUCUCCUUCGGCAGAUUUAUGCCUCGUCGGACCAGGACGACUGGUGGGGUACCAAAGCCUUCCCCGGCAUCGUCUCGGCCAUCGUGAACGCGCAGAAGCUCAACACGUCGGAAUCUUGGCGGCUGUUGCGGCAUGAGAUUUACAUGGGUGCAAGGACCUUAUUUGUUAUGAAAUGGCAUAUUGUUAUUCGUAUGUGUAUUAUUGACUUGCCAAAUUCUUGACCUCCUAUGGUAUGAUCAGAUCAAUAUAAAGAGUGUGGCUUCUAUUCUUUUAACAUACUCACAUGAAACUAUUGUCCAGUGUUUAUUUUGGUUAGUAUCUACCUGAUGGUUAGAUGUCUAUUUGAUUAAAGCAGGGACAAUGAAGUCAGUAGACAGCCUAUAAGCGCAGAGGAGCAUCUCAAGAGGCGCGCCACGGGCGCGCCCCUGCCCCUAGUGAAACACAAUAAGAGUCGCGGAAGGGGCGGCCGCUCACCUAUGCCACGUCAAAAAAAUUACUGUCACAGGAGUUUGGAUUAUUGUGAUAACAACCUUUUGGAGUUUGGUUUACCCUGAGUAAUUGUUGGAGGAGUUGGGAGUGCUCUACAUGCUCUACGACGACUGCUUGCAUUACAGGAGCCCCCAACGCAGGAAAAACGAGGUUGGUCAUCCAUGAUGCAUUUAUAGAUCCAUCUGAUGAUGAAUCUCAUUCCAUCUUGAAUACCCUUCUCUGCAUUUCAAAGGUCUUACAAAGAAGUUUUAAAAGUAGGCUUCAAUCCAUCGAGAUCUUGAUGGAGCUGGAACAUUGAUAUUGCCAGCCACGAACGCGAAGAAGGCGGUACAGAGCGGCAAUGCGUCGAUCAAGGGCUGGUGCCAGAAGCGGGGCACCAAGGGGGGGCAUGUGGUGUACACUGCCGAGUUCAUGGUGGAUGCCGGCUUCGGCGAGCCGGGCGCUGUCGUGGUGGCCAUCCAGAACCACCGUGAGUUCUUCCUCGUCGAUGGCAGUGGGCUGCCUUGCGGCAUCGUGCACUUCGCCUGCAAAUCCUGGGUCCUCUUAAGCAACAAGCACUAAAACAGAGUUUGGUCGACUUGGCAAUUUGGCAUGGGAAGAUGCUCGAAGGGGCGUGAUGUGUAACACAGGUUGUGCAAGACACCUGGACUUGGACGGUGGUCAGGUGACGGACUAUACUCAAUGGUAGUAAGUGUUUUCUUUCUAUAUUAGUUAUGUAUAUGAACAGAUAUAAAUGCAGUUGCCCCAUGUUUCACAUUAAUGUUUCUUGUAGCACUGGAUAACCUGGUUUGGCCAGCCAAUAAGAGUCAAUUGGACAUAGGCAAGUACCCAGAGAGAGGAUACAUCAGGUCUGGUACUGAGAUAUGGUCUAAAUGUUCCAUUAUAUAUGUGUUGGUACCUAGAGAGAAAAUAAUAGUCUCACAUGAAUGAAUAAUGUGUUGGUCUUUUGAUAAGAGGUAUAUGGAUGUGAUUUAAAAGAGACCAAAAAAUGUUUGAUUAGUGCUAUUGUUUGCAGCUAUCGGUAAGUUAAGAUAUAUUUUUAACCAUUGUCGGCUGU